AUUGCUUAGUACGGCGAGUGAGCGGCAAAAGCUCAAAUUUGAAAUCUGGCGUCUUCGACGUCCGAGUUGUAAUUUGAAGAAGGCGACUUUGUAGCUGGUCCUUGUCUAUGUUCCUUGGAACAGGACGUCAUAGAGGGUGAGAAUCCCGUGUGGCGAGGAUCCCAGUUAUUUGUAAAGUGCUUUCGACGAGUCGAGUGGUUUGGGAAUU
rnacentral:rRNA from 1 species